UACAGAGGUCUCAAGCGUUGUUCGGAUUCAUUGGGCGUAAAGGGUGCGUAGGCGGCGCGGUAAGUCGGGUGUGAAAUCUCGGAGCUUAACUCCGAAACUGCAUUCGAUACUGCCGUGCUUGAGGACUGGAGAGGAGACUGGAAUUUACGGUGUAGCGGUGAAAUUCGUAGAUAUUGGGAAGAACACCGGUGGCGAAGGCGGCGACCUGGUCCGAUACUGACGCUGAGGCGCGAAAGCGUGGGGAGCAAACAGG
rnacentral:rRNA from 1 species